rnacentral:rRNA from 1 species
GACGAACGCUGGCGGCGUGCUUAACACAUGCAAGUCGAACGGAAAGGCCCUGCUUUUGUGGGGUGCUCGAGUGGCGAACGGGUGAGUAAAACGUGAGUAACCUGUCCUUGACUUUGGGAUAACUUCAGGAAACUGGGGCUAAUAUCGGAUAGGAGCUCUUGCUGCAUGGUGGGGGUUGGAAAGUUUCGGCGGUUGGGGAUGGACUCGCGGCUUAUCAGCUUGUUGGUGGGGUAGUGGCUUACCAAGGCUUUGACGGGUAGCCGGCCUGAGAGGGUGACCGGCCACAUUGGGACUGAGAUACGGCCCAGACUCCUACGGGAGGCAGCAGUGGGGAAUAUUGCACAAUGGGCGGAAGCCUGAUGCAGCAACGCCGCGUGCGGGAUGACGGCCUUCGGGUUGUAAACCGCUUUCGCCUGUGACGAAGCGUGAGUGACGGUAAUGGGUAAAGAAGCACCGGCUAACUACGUG